rnacentral:rRNA from 1 species
GACGAACGCUGGCGGCGUGCCUAAUACAUGCAAGUCGAACGGAGCGGCGGACGGGUGAGUAAUGCCUAGGAAUCUGCCUGGUAGUGGGGGAUAACGUCCGGAAACGGGCGCUAAUACCGCAUACUAUCAGAUGAGCCUAGGUCGGAUUAGCUAGUUGGUGGGGUAAAGGCCUACCAAGGCGACGAUCCGUAACUGGUCUGAGAGGAUGAUCAUUCACACUGGAACUGAGACACGGUCCAGACUACUACGGGAGGCAGUAGUGGGGAAUAUUUGAAAAUGGGUGAAAGCCUGAUCCAGCCCAGCCGCGUGUGUGAAGAAGGUCUUCGGAUUGUAAAGCACUUUAAGUUGGGAGGCGUUACCAACAGAAUAAGCACCGGCUAACUUCGUGCCAGCCGCCGCGGUAAUUC